rnacentral:rRNA from 1 species
UACGUAGGGUGCGAGCGUUACUCGGAAUUACUGGGCGUAAAGCGUGCGCAGGCGGUUUUGUAAGCCCGGUGUGAAAUCCCCGGGCUCAACCUGGGAAUGGCAUUUGGGACUGCAAGGCUGGAGUGCGGCAGAGGAGACUGGAAUUCCUGGUGUAGCAGUGAAAUGCGUAGAUAUCAGGAGGAAUACCGAUGGCGAAGGCAGGUCUCUGGGCUGACACUGACGCUCAUGCACGAAAGCGUGGGGAGCAAACAGG